GGGGGGAGCACAGGCUCCUGGGCUGUGUCCCCCGCACCCUGGGCUCCGGGGCCUGUGCUGCUGGAAUCUUGCUCCCGGGGUCACGCAGCCAGUGACCCCUC
rnacentral:pre_miRNA from 1 species